AAAAGUAAAAGACUAAAAAUAUAUAUUUUUAAAUAAAUAAUUUUUUUUUAUCUUUCCAAUGACAUAAAAAUCAUAUAAUUCCAAGUUACUAUGAAUAAGUUAUGAUAGAUUAAAGAUAAAAUGUAAAUAAUAGAAAAGUUAAGUGAAUAAUUUUUACCUAAAGGAUAAUUUGCUUAAGAAAUCAGGAAUUCGAGCUUCACCAAGGCUCACAAGUAGUACAUAUGGAUUGUCUUAAGAGGCUUUGAAGCCUUAGUCUUAUCCUCCUACCUACAUCUAAGGUACUACAAUCCAUAUGGGAAUUGUGCA
rnacentral:lncRNA from 1 species